CGGAGACAUCACGUUCCUAUGCUAUUAAAGAUAUAUAAAGGGGAUAAAAAGGUGAAUGAGAAAUGACAUAUUGAAAGGGUCUGAAAGUUACAUAGAUUGGUUAACGAAGAAGUAAAAACAGAAGCAGAAAUAAACGGAGACAGCACGUUCCUAUGGCAUUAAAAAUAUAAAAAGCGGAUAAAAAGGUGAUUAAAAUAUGACAUGUUUAAAGCGAGUGAAAGUUACAUAGAUUGAUUAACGGAGAAGU